CCUACGGGUGGCAGCAGUGGGGAAUAUUGCACAAUGGGGGGAACCCUGAUGCAGCGACGCCGCGUGAGCGAAGAAGGUUUUCGAAUCGUAAAGCUCUGUCCUAUGAGAAGAUAAUGACGGUAUCAUAGGAGGAAGCCCCGGCUAAAUACGUGCCAGCAGCCGCGGUAAUACGUAUGGGGCGAGCGUUGUCCGGAAUUAUUGGGCGUAAAGGGUACGUAGGCGGUUUUUUAAGUCAGGUGUGAAAGCGUGAGGCUUAACCUCAUUAAGCACUUGAAACUGGAAGACUUGAGUGAAGGAGAGGAAAGUGGAAUUCCUAGUGUAGCGGUGAAAUGCGUAGAUAUUAGGAGGAAUACCGGUGGCGAAGGCGACUUUCUGGACUUUUACUGACGCUCAGGUACGAAAGCGUGGGGAGCAAACAGGAUUAGAUACCCCAGUAGUC
rnacentral:rRNA from 1 species